rnacentral:rRNA from 1 species
CAUAGGAAUCUGCCUUAUAGACUGGGACAACUUGGGGAAACUUGAGCUAAUACCGGGUAAUCUCUACGGAGGAAAGGAUGGGACUUGAAAGAGCCAUUCGCUAUAAGAUGAGCCUAUGUCGGAUUAGCUAGUUGGUGGGGUAAAGGCCUACCAAGGCGAUGAUCUGUAGCUGGUCUGAGAGGAUGGACAGCCACACUGGGACUGAGACACGGCCCAG